rnacentral:lncRNA from 1 species
GCGCAAUCGCCGCCUGUCUCAUCCCGGACAUUUCUGGAAGUCUGCAGAGUGGGUUUCUCUUUCAGCCUCUCUCCACUGCCCUGCCUUCCGGCCCCCGUCACCUUUCUCCCCCUCCCCAACUUCACCCCCAGCGCAUGCAGCCGCCCUGCCCACAGGUUUGGGGGGUCCCCUGGGGUCCAGGUCAGAGUUGGCCUGUGGCACACAACUCGCCGCGUUUUGAUCCCCAGUGAAGGCUGAUGCCCAUUGAGUGGAGCCGCCCGGGGCGAGGUGGCGCCUCAGGUCCACCAAGCCCCCCGUUAUGUGCUCAGGGACCCUCCACCAGGACCGAUUUGACGGACAUCCUCCUGGCCCAGCAGCCUGGCCCAUCACGUGGUCUCUGUGGCAUAAGAAAAGACAGGGAGUCUCUCAACUUCUCCCUUUCCUCAGGCCCUACUUCCUCCUGGUGACAUGCCAGGCCACGUCCCUCCAUCCCUCCCUUGUUCCUGGCUGCAGGCCCAUAGCCCUAGGUGAGAUCAGGAGCCUGGGGGGGGGGGGUCUCCGCUCCAGCCUCCAUGACUGAGCUCUCCAGGUGACAGGCAGACAGGCCCCUGCUUGUCGCUGCUCUGCCAGAUGCUCCCAGGCACACUUGGUUGUACACAUGCAGGUCCCCAGACCUGGGGACACUACCUUACAUGCCUCUGCACACUCAUACACAUGCACUCAGACGUAGACACACGGACAUCCACACACAAGGACAUUCCUGCACACACAGGCACACUCAGACACACACGUGUGGUAGUCACAUCCGUGACACUGGAGGACACAUGUGGAUGAGUAUACGCAGGUGCACUUCACAAAUCCCCACCUGCACCCACAGGUAUGGCAGAGCAGCUGCCCGAGCCCCCCCUGAAGAUCCUCAAGGUCCCAGGGGUUGGACUUAGACCCUCCUCCAGUCAUCCUGACCCUGAGCUUGCUGAGCCUAGUGGGCAGAGUCUCCUCUUCCUCCAGGGGCUCAGCCUUCCUCCCUGGCAGUUAGAAGUUCCUCCCUCCACACUAUGGAGGGCUUAGAUUAGAAUGCUCACUCCUCUGCUUGAUUGCUGUGUGUCCCUGAGCAGGUCACUGGGUCUCUCUGAGCUCAUUUCAAAUCUGAAAAAUGAGGGCCGUGCAACCCUUUGGCAGGAAUGCCUUGGGGUACAAUGAGGUCCUGCGCUGAGGCACGGUGAGUCCCAGGGAGCAGGUGUCCCCAAUAUGGUGAUGGUCCUUGUGUGCCAGGAGGGACCGUGAGCCUACUCUGGUGGCCUGACAGGAUUCAGCACCAACUGGAUCUGAGGGGGAAGGCAGGAGGAGGAGGCAGCCUCCAGCCCAACUCUGCCCAACUCAGGCCACUUAGGCUCUGGGCUCGCAGCCCUGGGAUGGACCCAGGAGAAGCUGGUGCUACAAAACUCUGGGGUCAUUUGGGUCAUCGCUCAGUGACGCUAUUCUCCUAGAGGUCAGGAAGGAGAGGGCAGGAGCUCAACUGGACAGCGGGACAUAAACUCUGUAAGAAGAGGAGGCAGGGGACCUUCAGUGUCCAUCAGGGGCCAGGUGCCAGUCCAUGAGUGGAGAGGCAGGUGCUGGACAACGGAACUGAGGUGCUUUGGCUGCUGUGGGUGAUACAGUCUCUGUGUAUCACUGGCGUCCAUAGUGUGGGUACUGGACUCACACCCUUGCCUGGGUCUUCAGCCCUAGGGGACCCUCCCCCCAGCCCGUGACAAUCAUCCCUAGUCCAGAGGCUGCAGGCUCCAGCGGGAGCAUUCCAAGUUCAUAUCCUGUCCCUCUCCUUCCUGGCUGUGCAUCCUUUGAACAAAACACAUAACCUCUCUGGGCCUCAGUUUUCACCCAUGAAAGGGCUACGCUGUGCCUACACUGCAGGCUGCUCUCAGGUUUCAAUGAGGUCAGAUAUGUGUGGCACUUGGCACGGAGCCCAGCGCAUGGUAGGUCCCCCGUUGGUAAGAGUGCCUUUCACAUUUCUCAGAGGGGACAGGGGCAUCUCACGUCGACACCCCUGGCCCUCUGCCGUUGCUGUAUCCAUGUCACCGUUCACUGGGCUUCUCUCCCCACUCCAGGCUGUGACCCUGGGACAAUGGGACCACGCUGGGCUGCCUCAGCUCCUGAGCCACCUCUCCCUCCCUGCUCCGCCCCUGCCAGCUCGGGAGGCCAGAAGCUCACCACCAGAGGGUCCCCACCGUCCGGCUUCGGAGCGCCGCACGACUGCACCGUGGCCGCCCUGCACCCCAGACGUGCGCCCCUCUGCUCGGGCAGGGGCGGGGACCCCCGAGUCAGGACCCACCUGAUCAGCCGGGGUGACGGGAUUGAUGAGUGGGGCCCAGGGGACAGUGUGGCGAGGACAACUCCAGGCUGAAGGUGGAGACCCUGGGCUGCGGGGGGCCGGCAGGAGACCCCGCCCACCAGGCAGGACGUUGACUGGUCAGUGCCGCGCGUGCGCACACGAGGCCCGCUCUGCUGGCCCCACGAGAGCAGCCCGACUGCUCCGCCUGGAGCCCCGCUGCUUUGGGGAAGAGCAGCCCCAGCUGGGUCAAGGCCACUGUGCAGGGCCAGGGUGGGGCAGGGCAGGGGUGGCCAAGCCCAUUCCCUUGGAAACAUCUAGUUCAGAGGCCCCAACCCAAGCCUGGCACGGUGCAUGGCACCUCUGGACGCAGCUGCCACGUGUGCCGCGACAGUCCUGCGUGUCUUUCGAGCCCCGUCCUGCCUUUGUCCCCUGCCCUGGGAGAGGGUCAUCCUAUCUCAUCUCACUGGCCAUUUGGAAGGCACAGUGACUCCCUGGAUUAUGUGUGUGUGGGGGGGUCCUUAGGGCUCAUGACACCCCCUGAAGUCUAGGCCCCAAGAACUAGGAUGGGGGGUGUUCUAGCACAUUCCUCUCCCUUACUCUUGGGCAGCUGGCCCACCCACAGUGAUGGUCUCUGGGGCGCGUGUGGGGUGGGUUUCGGGGUGUCCUGUCUGGGAGGAGCUUCUCCGGCUGUUCCACCCCUUAAUACAUCUCCUUGGGGCAGCGGGGAGGGAGCCCUUUUAUAAAAAUCCUUCCCUUCCACUCCAGCCUGGGCAGUCCCUGAGUGGCCUCCUGUUAGGAGCCAGGGUCCCUUGCCUAUUUGUGCUCACUCAACGUCCCCUCUUGCCAUCCCUCCCCUUGCUCAAGGCCUGGACUUCCCCCAGAGCAAGGGAGAGGAGAGCCUCUGGGUCAUGUCCCCAAAGCCCCGACCCCAUGGAUCUGACCUGGCACUAAAGGGAAAUCUGUCCCCACAAAGAGCAGCAGCAGAGGUAGCAGAGCAGCUGCAGGGCGCCCAGGGCCGGCCCACGGUCCCUCUGGACCCCCUGGCCACUGCCCAGCUUGGUGAUCUCACAGCUCCUCCCGCAUCCACACAUCGCCCUCCCAGGGAGGGAGACCCAGACUUCAAAACCUGAUCUGAGCUAACAUCCAGAAUCCAGCCACAUGCACGGGGACCUUGCCCACCUGGGUGGCCCCAGACCGCUGCACGCUCCAGGGCAAGUCGGCUCCGGGAAGAACAGGGCGACCUUGUGCUUCCCCAGAACUGGGCCCAGGGGGGUCCCCUGCGCUCCCCAAGGGCCUCCUUGCCUUGCCUUGCCACAUCCCCACCUGCCUGGGACCAGGAGACUCAAAACCCCACCCGGGGCCAUUCCUAAGUGGACAUUCCUGUUCUGGGGACAUCCGUCCUGGUGGCUCUUGGCCUGGUGAUUGCUUGUCUUGGGGGCAUUUCACACGCACUUGCAAGACACCCAGAGCUCUUGUCUGAAGAUGCCCCCCUUCCAGCAGUCCCCUCUGUGGAGCCCCCGAGUCCCUGGCCUGGGUGGACCACCCAGGCUGUGCCCAGCGACCUACCGAGUGCCUGCCAUCCGGCCCCUGCCUCUCCUCAAUCCCCACCCGGACUUGUCAGUCCACAGACUCCAGAUUUCCCCUGCACUUUGUGCCCAAAGAGGAAACGAGGAAGGAAGGAGGCAGCCGGGGUCCAGAGCCCCCAAAGUCGAAAUGCCCCCCAGAGCUGCCCCCUGAUGCCCCGGACUCUCCUGCUUCCAGAAUUAACCAAAAUAGCCGACCACCACCCUUGUCAAGGCCCAGCGGGGUCUCCCAAGGGGGACUCUCCAUGUGACCCUGAGCCCCUGUUGGGAGUUAGGACAGGACCUGGGAGAUCCAGGGAGAAGGCCCAGCCCUCCACCCACCCCCCUGCCCCUCUGGGGCUUCUUAGCCUCGGGGAUUAGAGCUCCUUGGGUCUGUUCCUUGGUCCCACGUCACCUCUUCUUGACUUCUCACUCUUUCCUCCUCCGUCCCCACCUGCCGAGAUCUCCGAGAUCUCCGCUGCAGUCAGAACUGAACGCUGGCUCCAGGCUUCCAGCGUUCCCUGACCCCCACCCCAGCCCCGGGGAGAAUCGGGCCCCUCCUUUCCCACGGCCCCGGUCUGUUUGCUGAGGGACACCUGGGGGGAGAACAUGGUCAUUCGUCCUUUGAGGGUGGAAGAGGAGAGAGACUUUGUACUUGCCCGUUUUAGCGGCUAGCCUGUCCUGCGUCUGGUUCUAUAGGACCCACCCCGUGAAGGGGAGCCUCUGUGUGUGUGUGUAUGUGUGUGUGUGCGCCUCUCCCUGCAGGUGACACGAGUCACCAGCUCAACAGCAAGUUGCUUCCGUCUGUGCCUCACGUUCAGCAAACCCCUCUCUGUUCAGGCUUCCCGUGUGGACCACUCUGCAGGGGGAAGGUCCCCCCGGGGGCCUGGACCUUCAGAGAGACACUGCUGGGCUUCUGUUGAAGGGCACGCAGUGGCCUGCUAACUCCCACCCACUCCUCACACGACAAAUGAUCCUCUUGAUCUCCUGUAGGGACAUCCCCCAGUGGCCCCAUCCCCAGAGCCAAACCAGAAACUAAAUUGCCACUUAGGUCUCCCUGGUCCUGGUUUUCCCUAUUAGGGGUCAAAGAAAAGAAUUCCAUGUCGCCAUGUCCCCCUCCUGUCCUCCACGUCCACCUGGGCUCAGCCUAUAGACGCCCUUUCUUUACCUAUGUGGGUAACAGGACUCUGUGUCCAGGGAGCCUGCAUCUCCUCUCUCCCUGUGCCACCCCGUGUCCCCACAUCGUGCCCCCCAAACACAAGCACAGAAACCCAGACGCCCCCAACCUUCCAUAACUCUCCUCCCACCUGUCGCUGGUCCUCCAAGACACUCUGAUCUCUGGGCCCUCGCUAUCUUGAGACAGCUAGAGCUGAGGUGACAAGCUUCGGCCUGAGGACCAAACGGCUCUUCUGUUUCAUUGAUUUAUUUUUUAAUUGGGGGGAAAAUAUCAAAGGAAUCGUAACAUCUCACAACUUAGAAAAAUUCUAUGAAAUUCACAUGUCACGACACACAGAAUUCUCUUCAGGUAGAACUUAUUUAUUCACAUGUGGUCCAAGCAGCUUUGGGGUUCCAGUGACACAGAUGAUGGGGUCCCCCCAAUUGGAAAUGCAACCUGGCCCUUGGUCAGCUUUGCCUCCUGUGACCUGGGGGCUGCUUCCCAAAGGACCAGUCACCUUCUGUGUGGUUCCCAGAGCAGGAGGAACGUGUGUGUGGGGGGGGGAGCGCCUUGUUUCAACAGGGGACAGGCUGUCUCAUGGCCUGCCCUAGGGAGGUAGAAAGCCCCUGCCCUGGACAGGUGUGAGCAGGUGUUGACCACGUGGCCUGCAUCCUGUGGAGGCCGGUCAGGCCCCCGGGUCUGCUCUUGAGGUCGCUAAGCCAGGGGCGGGGCUCCCCCUGUGACCUGGGAGGAGCGUUCUCAUGACGGUGCUUGACGUUGGCGAGGGGCGCUGGAGGACCCCCCAUCUCUGGCUUUCCUUCUCCGGCUCGUUCUCAGCCUGGAGACCGAGAUGCACCUCCCUGUCCGCCUGUCCUGCCAGCCUCCUCUUCACCCUGGUCUCGUCCCGAGUGUGUGGCCAGUGCCCCCCACCCCCAGCCCGUGUUAGCUCCCUAGAGCUGCCACCACAGGUCACCACACGCUGGGUGGCUUAACACAACAGAAAUGUGUCCUCUCGUGGUUCUGGAAGCAGGAAGUCCAAAAGCUCGGCCUUGGCAGGCUCCCUCCAAAGCCGCUGGACCACGGAGCCCCAUCCCAGCCCUAUUUUGCAUUUUGUUUAGAGACAGGGCCUCACGGAGCUGCUUAGGGCCUCGCUUUUGCUGAGGCUGGCUUUGAACUCUCGAUCCUCCUGCCUCGGCCUCCCCAGCCACUGGUCCCUGAUUCUUCUUAACCUCUUGGUUCUUUCCGGCAAACCUCGGCGUUCCUUGGCUUGUGGCUUGUGUCCCUGGGUCUCUGUUCUCCCUCACCUUCUAGUCCAUCUGCAGGGCAGGUGCGGGGGUCCCGGGGUCAGGAAUUCAGCGUGUCUUUUCUUUUCCUUGGAGGGGUGUCUGGAGGGGACACACUCCACCCUAGCACCCUCUCAGGAGCUUUCUCUUGGACCUUGAUUGGUCACCUUCGUCCCUCCAGGGCAGAUCCUAGGUCCCCGGGAGAUAGAUUCUGCAGAACCCACGCCCCCAAGGGCCAGGCCACCUGCCCAUGGCCGAGUCCCAGCAGCCCCAGACUCGAGCCCCGUGUGUGUGCGGCGGAGGGUUUCCUCAAUGCGACGGGCACUUUGUGUGCCUCACAGCCCAGUCUGCAGGGGCUAGCCACGUGCCGUUCCAUCUCAGUUCCACCUGGACAGCGGGACCGUCCUUCUCCUGUCCUUUAGCUUUGCCACUGAGGGGAGGAAGUUCCCAGGAAGCCGCAGGGGGACACCCUCCUGACCUGCGCGGCCGGGGAACGAGAGGCAGUGGGCGUGAGCCUGGUACUCGAUAAGCACGUCCAGAGCGCAGGGAGGGACAGCUGCUGGGCGACAGCCAGGAGUGGGCGGAGCCUGGCGGUGUUGGAAUUCCAGGCUGCACUGUGGAGGCCACGUGGGACCCCGGACAUGUUCGCCAGGCUUAUGAAACGUCACUUGUGAAGCGCCCCGUGAGUCAGGUGUCCCCAGGAGGCAGAGUCCUGUUCACUGAGCACUUACUAUGUGCCCAGCCCGGGGAAUCCCCAUGUUGGUCCCGGGGGGCAGGGGGAGGCGGCCUCCCUCGUCCCCGUUUUGAUGGCUGAUGUGAUAGGAACAUAAACCCACCCAGGAUGGGGUGGUGCCCACAUUUCAGAGUGAGUCUCGGAGUUCAUGUGUCCCCAAGGACACACUUCUGCGAGAGAUGCAUGCCCUGGGGCCCACGGGGAUGUGGCAGUCCCCAGUGAGCCAAGAGGGGGAGGUUGAGGGGAAACGGUGAAGGGGACAGCAGGGGCAGGAGUGUCCACUGUGUCCCUGGGCUGCUAGGUGGCCGGCAGUGCCCGGAUAGCCAGGGAAGUGCAUCAGAGUUGGCAGAUUCCUCCCAGCUGCCCCAGCACCCGCCAGCCCGCCCAACUCUCCCCUCCUGCUGGGCAUCCUCGUGUGGCUUUCCUGGGGGCUGACCAGUGAGUGGCCUUCCGUCUCGGGGGGGAAGGGCCUUCCUUCCCAAGCUAUAAAGGGUGCGUCUUUCAGGGUUGGAGGACCCCCUCCCCCACUGAGGACUGAGCUGGGGGAAGUGGGCCUUGCCAGGGCUGCAGACAGUGGGCAUGAGACCCCGAGUGUCCCAUGCCCCUUGAAUCCAACGCAAGACGGGAUGGACGCUGCAUUAUGGGAAGGGUCCCGGGGCGAGUGUGCGUGGGAAAUGCUUAUGAGCAACCUGCUUCCCGGUGUAGGACUUGUGGGGUUCGUGGACACUAUUGUGUGCUUGUGACCUAAAAGACCCAGGGGAGGUGUGCCCAAGUCUCUCUGGGAUGGUUUCUGAAUCCCCAACUCGAUGGGCCUUUGGAAGUUCAGCUGGAUGACUGAGCUGGUCCUCAGGAGCCAAGUGUUCUGACCACUGAAAGAAAGCAGCUGACCCCCGGGCAUUUACAGACGGCCAGGACACGGACCAGGCAUGGCAGCCCAUCUAGUCCCAGCCGCACAUGAGGCUGGCACUGUGAGUGACGAACCAGGAAGCUGGCCUGAGAUGGGGUGCUCAGGGCCCCCGGGGACUCCCCUUCAGGGCUUCUCUGAACAGCUGGGCCCAAAACGCUUGAAGCUGGCCUCCAUCCGCACACACCCCCCCGCCUAGGCCUGCUGGUGGUCGGUCCAGGUUCCGUGCUCAGGGACGCCCCCAAGGGAAAGCUCUGGCCAACGGUGUCUUCCAACAGGGUCCCAGCCUGCUGUGUGUUGGUGACUUUCCCAACAUACCGUGGCUCCAAGACCAAGGUGAAAAUAACGUGGGAUUUUUACCUCCUUAGGAGGAUCAGCCACUGGGCUUUAAUCCAAUCAGGCCACUGAGACCAAGAUCCAGACAGAUCUAUAUCUAAAAUAUCUAAAGAGAUGCAGAUCUAUCCAAAGAGGGCAAAUAGGUAGCACAUCUGUCUCCACCGCCAGCUCUGGUCCCCUCUGCAGACAUUGUUAGUCAGUCCCAGCACCUCAGCCUGCCGAUCCCAGAUGCAGCCACAGAGCAUUAGAGGUGGACAUGCGAGACUGUCCCUGACUGCAGGCUUCCCUUCCUGUCACAGGCGCAGGACUGGAGGCCCAGAGAAAGAAGGUAAGAAUUCCCCGGAGUCAGCUCCCUUGGAAUAGGCAGAGGUUGGUUUAAACUCAGAAAUAUCCAGAAGCCCAGGAUUCGGGUUGUCAUUGAUAGACCGUGUGUCAGGGCCUACAGAAGUUUCACUCAGGGAACUUGGAGGGUGCAGGAGGAAGGAUUUUGUGCCUAGGCCCUAGUGUCUGAUGCUAUCUGAUCAUCUGCCUGCUGCUUGGAAGGAAUCACUUACGCUCUGUGAUGGUUUCCCUGCAAGGGAACCUCACCCCCAGCUAUCUAACAGCUGGGCAGGGGGGGCACCGAGAAAGAUGGCCGUGUGUGCAUGGUGGUGGGCAGGGGACCAGGAAGAUGGCUGUGUAUCAAAUCAGUUUGCAAAAGUUCCAUAGUUCUGUCUGGCAUCUGGGGAGCCGGGAAAUGUCCUGUAGAACUGUGAGGAAGAGGAAUCUCCUCUAUAUGGAAGUUUCAGAAUUAAGUUUUCAAGCAGGUGUCUUCUGGGGUCCUAGUGGACCACCAGCUCCAAACCUGAGCUCUGCCCCUAACACCGGCUUGGUGGCCAAGAGUACGUUCCGCAAACUGCCUCUUUGUUUCCUUUCUCCCCUUACUACCCCCUACCCAGCUGGUCCAGGUGGGAGCAGGGCCUUUGCAUCCCACCUGGAUGCCCGUGGCCCAGGUUCGCAUGGAACUCCCAGACUAUUUUCUUUCACUCAGUGGGUGGUUUAUUGAGCACCUACUACCUUUGCCCUGAGCAUUUGGUGAUGAGCAAUGCAAAGCCUCCCCCAUUCUGAAGUUCAGAGCCUAAGAAAGACAAGGAAGUGUCAACCACAAAGGUACACGUUUGCGGCUCACAAGGGUCUGGGGGGAGGAAAACUCACAGGGGGGCAGAAACUCGGGGUGAGCUCGACUACGGAGAGUUAUUGGCAAAGGUCUUUGGGAGGGGGUGACAUCAGUCGAGAUCUAAACAGGGAGGGAGGGAGGGGAGGAUGAUCUUUCUAAGCCAAGGUUUCUCACCCUGCGGGGGUCAACACAGGGCCCAGAGUGUUCUUUAUGGUGGGCGCUGUGGUGGGCGAUGGGAGAGCAUCCUCUGUCCUCUCCGUUAGAUGCCAGGGCACUGCCACCACCCCCACCCCCCCCAGUGACAUCCAGAAGAAUGUCUCCAGAUGUUGCCCGAGGGUGUGCUUUGGCACAACACUGUAGGAUUCCAACCCAGAAGCAGCCGGCAGAAGCCUCCAUGGGAACAAACAGAGCCAGACAGAGGGACUCGGGCCCAGGAGGAGGCCCCUGGGGUGGCCAGGCCGGGUGACAGGUUUUAAAAGCUCCAGUGAAGCUGUGGGGCGGGGGAGUGGUGAGCCCAGGAACUCGGGAGGCUGAGGCAGGAGGAUUGAAGCUGGAGGCCAGCCUCGGCAACUGAGCAAGACCCUAAACAAUUUAGCAAGACCCUGAAUCAACAAAAUAAGUGAAAAAGGCUGAGGAUGUAGCUCAGUGGUCAAGUGUCCCUGGCUUCAAGGUCCAGUACCAAAAAAACCCUUUUUUGAAGCACCAGGGCCUCCUCCCUGUGUCCUAGAACUUUGGGCCCCACAGGCCCUCCUUGAGCUGCUUUCUGGGUGACUCAAGAAUCUCAGGAAUGUCCCCUUUGCCUUCCCCAGAAAGGCGACCCCUGCCCACCCCCAGUGUUGAGAUCCUUUCCUGGCGCUGCCCGUCUGGUCCCCGCUACUGUGGAGAAGACCCGGGGCCAGAUGACCGCCACGACCCGUCAUGAUGGACCUGGUCCCUGGUGGGCGGGUGGUGGAUGUGGACACCCUUAGGUCCUGCUGCCCCAACCCUGGAAGCCAGGGGGUCCCAGGAUGGGCGAGUGGACGGAAGGGCCCCUGGGCAUUGCAAAGAGCUAACUAAGGCUUGGCACGUCGCUUGGGGAAUUGGGACCCCUGGGCGCCACGCACCUUCUAGAAGGCGGCUGGGUCCAGUCGCCCCUCGCGGCCCUGCCAGGGCUUGGCCUUGGCCGCUCCCUGGACCGUGAAGGCCGGGCGCUGGUCUCUAACCGCCCCAGUUUCCUCUGCUGAUUUUUCUGUGCUGCAAACAUGACCACUCUAAUAACUUUUAAAAUGGAUACACAGGAGCCGGUGUGAGUUCAAGCAAGCGCUCGGGAGCUGCAGUGUAGAUAGCUGGGGCUCAACGUCCCCACCCGCCUCCCUGCCCCGGGCCCAGGACAGAGGCGGGAGGGGCGUGGCCAAGACCGGCCGCAUCCCGCCAGCCCCG